CGGAGCUGCCGGCUGUGGGGCAGCAGUCUGGCAGCUCCUCCAUCUCAAGGACUCUGCUUUUGGCUGGAGCUGGGGCAUGGAGAGGGCCUUUUCCUUUCAUGCUGACUCAUACAUUCAAGCCCCAUGCUGGAAGAAAGGAGGGGGUGGAGCACAGCACUUGGAACAAAGUUCAGACAUGAAGGGGCCGGCAGACUGGGCUGGAAUUUAUACCAUAUGUACCAGGCAUGAGUGGAAUGUUUGGCAUCUUGGCUGGGCCAGAGCAGCCUGUACAGAAGAGUUGGGCCUUACUCUGCGAUCACCGCAGCUUGCAGGAUAGCAGCCUUGUGCACUGCUGCCUGCGCUGCUGGCUAACUAGCACCAGUUCUUCAGUGGCAAGCUUUACGUCCAUCUAGUAGCUAAAGCUGCCAGUUGAAGAACUGUUGAAUGUAGCCACUCUCAUCUUGUCACUUGGGUUGUCUGAUGUCAGCUGGAUGCACGCAUUAAGAGAGCAGGAUGGGGCUGCUAUGCCUCAGACUCUGAAUCCUGGCACCCUACAGUUUUAAUAUUGAGCCUCAAAAGGAAGCUUUUCUAUAAACCAGGGAGACUGUUGAAAGAUCUGUCAAUCUUCUUCUCUAGUGUCCUGUUCCUCCCUCCCCUGCAUGCCCCUGCCCCAGCAUGCAGAAGCUGGAUGGACAGCAACCUUGUUGUGCACGCCUGUGGAAGGGUAGUGUGGAGCGUGCCCCCUGCAGUACUGCCAAGGACCAUCCCAAGAGGUGCAUACAGGCUGUUCCCCUGAGCACCAUGGACAUUGCUGCUGCAUCCUGCAAGGAAGAGUAAGUUCUUGGCAGAUACACUGGCUGGGUCUGGGUCUGGCUCUGACUUGCCAAGAGUUCCAAGCCAAUUGGGCUACGGAUUCACUCACUUGAUGUAAAAGACCAAGAACUCCAGCUGCUCCAGAUUUCCCUUCACAACAGUCUCUGUGUAUCCUUCCCCAUAGCCUGCAAACACAGAAGAUGCAGUGGGGUCUGGGCAGAUGCCACCAUGCCCCUUAAGCUCAAAUAACUGCAGGGAGGUCCAAAAGAAAGGAACAGUGUGCAAGGCCUUCUGCUUCUUCAGCAUGUUUAAAGCAGCAAUGUGACCUGAAAAGAC